GGUUGUGAAGACAAUCUGGCUGCAACAUCUGUCACCCAUUGACCACCAGGGUUAUUUGAGCUGAUCUGGCUGGCUAGGCGGGUGUCCCCUUCCUCCCUCACCACUCCUUGUUCAUGCUCAGUCGAAGAGGGUGUCCUUCCCCAGUAGAGGAGAACCCUUCUUGGGUUAAGGAUAUAUGAAUAGAUGUGUUUCCUGGCUAGAACCUACAAACAAGCUCUCAAAACAAAAAAUAAAAAGGACUGGGGAUGUAGCAAACAUGCCAUUUAUUUAAAAGGAGUCUUAUGUUU
ensembl:misc_RNA 7SK 7SK RNA